rnacentral:lncRNA from 10 species
CUUCCUGAUUUUCUCUUGCCGCUGCCAUGUAAGAAGUGCCUUUUACCUCCUGCCAUGAUUCUGAAGCCUCCCCAGCCAUGUGGAGCUAACACUUUGAGUAAAACAGAUUGUCCUCCAUAAUGUGGAUGCACCUCAUGCAAUCAGCUGAAGACCUUAAGAAAAAGACUGAGCUCCCCAAGGAAGAGGAAAUUCUGCCAGCAGACUACCUUCAGACUUGAACUGCAACUGUUCUCUGGGUCUCCAGCCUCCUAGGCUGCCUUGCAGAUUUUGUACUUGCCAGCCUCUACAAUAGUGUGAGGCAAUUACACAUGUACACACACACACACACACAUAUCCUGUUGGUUCUGUUUCUCUGGAGAACACUGACUAAUACAAUAAUUAGCUAUCUGUCCCAGUGAUAAACAUGAAAAAUAAUGUAAUAAUUUAUUGGUAAACCUGGGUCAGUUUGAGUGACAAUGACACUUAGACGUUCAUUAUAGCACAUUUUUUCCUUAUCAGUGUUAAUAGCUCUUGUUUUAUCUUUGUUUGUUUAGUAUCUGACACUCAUGUUCAUCCUGGUUUAAACUCAGAUAUUCACAGACUCCUAUCACAGUUUUAGAGAAAGAAUAUCCUUGGUGGUUCUUAAUUUAUGGGACUUGUAAUUUUCUUUAGAGAUACCAGAAGUAAUUACUAUAAAGUUCAAGAGCAAUUUUUUAUUAGGAAAAAUGUUUCGUGACAUUACCUAAUGCUGUCCGUUAAUGUAAUACUGUAAAAUACCUAAUUCUAUUUGACUUUAAGGCAGAAUGAUGAAAAAGAAGAAUUAGGAACUGAGAGGUAAACCAGAGAAUGUCUUUCGGAUCCCUAUUUUAUUGUGUGGCCUUCGGUAAAUUUCUGUGUCUAUGGGUACUCCAGCUUCUUCACUUGUUUACAUGCUAUAAUGGUUAUUUUUAUGCAUCAACUUUACAGGGACAAUGGGUGCCCAUAUAUUUGCCUAAACAUUAUUCUGGGUUUGUCUGUAUGAGGUCUGUUCCUAAAUUUAUUUAUUUGCUUGUGGAUACAUAGUUGUUGCAGCACCAUUUGUUGAAAAAUACUCUAUUUUCUUUAUUAUGUUGCCUUUGCUUCUUUGUCAAAGAUUAGUUGAUUAUAUUUAUGUAAGUCCAUUUCUGGGCUCAAAUUCUGUCCCACGGACAGCUUUCUUUAUUCUUUUGCCAAUACCACAUUGUCUUGAUUACUGUAAAUCUUGAAGUCACAUAGUGUCAAUCCUUUAACUUAGUUCUUCUCAUUCAAUAUUGUGUUGGCUAUUCAUCUUUUGUCCCCUAUAUAAACCUUGGAAUCAGAUUUUUGAUAUCUACAUAAUAACUUGCUGGGAUUUUUAUUAAGGUUGCCUCAAGUCUAUAGAUCAAGUUGGGAAAAACGGACCAUUUGUCAAUAUUAUCUUCGUAUCUAUGAACAUAGUAUAUCUCUCCACUUAUUUAGUUCUUCUUUGAUUUUUUUCAUCAGUUUAUGACCUUACAUGUAUUUUGUAUAAAUAUGUAUUAGAUCAUAUAUAUAUUUUGUUAGAUUUGUACCUAAGCAUUUCAUUUUUGUGGGUACUAAUGUAAAUGACAUUGUGUUUUAAUUUCAAAUUUCAUUUGUUCCUUGCUUAUCUGUUUUCCUGUUUAGAAAAAAAAAUGCAGCUCACUGCCAGUGCUCAUUUAAUUCUGCAUAAACACACUCUUUGAGGCUGAAACAAAUCUGACUGAUCUUCAAUAUGAAAAUAAAAUGUAAAACCUGU